UUCGCCCUUAGAGUUUGAUUCUGGCUCAGGACGAACGCUGGCGGUGUGCUUAACACAUGCAAGUUGAACGAAGCAUAUAGUAGGAAGCCUUCGGGUGGAAUAGUAUAUGACUGAGUGGCGGACGGGUGAGUAACGCGUGAGCAACCUGCCUGCAAGAGGGGGACAACAGCUGGAAACGGCUGCUAAUACCGCAUAAGACCACGGCAUCGCAUGAUGAAGAGGUCAAAGGAGGAAUCCACUUGCAGAUGGGCUCGCGUCCCAUUAGGUAGUUGGUGAGGUAAGGGCUCACCAAGCCGACGAUGGGUAGCCGACCUGAGAGGGUGAUCGGCCACACUGGAACUGAGACACGGUCCAGACUCCUACGGGAGGCAGCAGUGGGGAAUAUUGGGCAAUGGGGGAAACCCUGACCCAGCAACGCCGCGUGAGGGAAGAAGGCUUUCGGGUUGUAAACCUCUGUCCUUGGGGGCGAAGGAAGUGACGGUACCCAAGGAGGAAGCUCCGGCUAACUACGUGCCAGCAGCCGCGGUAAUACGUAGGGAGCAAGCGUUGUCCGGAAUUACUGGGCGUAAAGGGUGCGUAGGCGGCCUGGUAAGUCAGAUGUGAAAUACCCGUGCUUAACAUGGGGGGUGCAUCUGAUACUGUCAGGCUUGAGUGCAGGAGAGGAAAGCGGAAUUCCUAGUGUAGCGGUGAAAUGCAUAGAUAUUAGGAGGAACACCAGUGGCGAAGGCGGCUUUCUGGACUGUAACUGACGCUGAGGCACGAAAGCGUGGGGAUCAAACAGGGUUAGAUACCCCUGGUAGUCCACGCCGUAUAAGGAUGGAUACUAGGUGUAGGGGUCAAGAGGCCUCUGUGCCGGAGCAAACGCAAUAAGUAUCCCGCCUGGGGAGUACGGCCGCAAGUCUGAAACUCAAAGGAACUGACGGGGGCCCGCACAAGCAGCGGAGCAUGUGGUUUAAUUCGAAGCAACGCGAAGAACCUUACCAAGGCUUGACAUCCCUGUGACGUAUAUAGAGAUAUAUAUUCCCUUCGGGGCACAGGAGACAGGUGGUGCAUGGUUGUCGUCAGCUCGUGUCGUGAGAUGUUGGGUUAAGUCCCGCAACGAGCGCAACCCUUAUGAAUAGUUGCCAGCGAGUAAAGUCGGGAACUCUAUUGAGACUGCCGGGGACAACUCGGAGGAAGGUGGGGACGACGUCAAAUCAUCAUGCCCCUUAUGUCUUGGGCUACACACGUGCUACAAUGGCCGGUACAAAGAGCAGCGAAGCCGUAAGGACAAGCGAAUCUCAAAAAGCCGGUCCCAGUUCGGAUUGUGGGCUGCAACCCGCCCACAUGAAGUUGGAGUUGCUAGUAAUCGCGAAUCAGCAUGUCGCGGUGAAUGCGUAACCGGGCCUUGCACACACCGCCCGUCA
rnacentral:rRNA from 1 species